UGCGUCGGCCGGGAAUCGAACCUGAAGCGUGGCAGGCGAGCAUUCUACCACUGAACCACCGAUGC